AAGUUUGCUGCUGAACUGCUGAGCUGCCGGCAACGACACGAUAUUUUUCACGCCAAUUAAAUUCAAUUAGCUGUCGGCAGUGGCAGCGAUGCCCUCUGAUGUGGAUGCCCUAAACUCGCUCAGAGUCCGCCUCGUCGACUCCCACUUCGCCCCUCUACUAUAUCUCAGUGUAUAGUAUGUGGAUCUAGCGCCACUGCGUCAUAAAAGACAACUUCCCUUCCCAAUAAACGACGUAUGCGUAUGCAAUUUGGAUUGCCCUAGACUUGUGGUCACCAAAAGAAUGAACAUAAACAUUUACAACUUUUAAUUACCACACUAAAAACGGCAAGCAACAGAAUACACCGUAUAGUAUAGUAUAUAUAGUUAUUUAACACAACAAAACGUGUGAAAUUGCUUGAGAGAUUAAGAGCGAACCAUCCGACUGCAACUGAACUGACUGGAUGAUGGAAUAAAUGGAUGAGGUGGCAAAGCAUUUUGGGCAGGAGGAGGAUUAAACUGAGGCGGACUGAUGACGACGCGCCUAAAACAAACAAAUAAACGGCAAGUAAAUUGUCCAAGUAACAACGUCGCUGGCGGUACGCUUUGCUCUGGCUUUAAUUAAAUCGACGGAGACGGACAAAAAAAAACAAUAAAACUAUACUGCAUCCAUCCCGAUCGAGUCUGGGUGAGAUUUUAUUACACUACACACGACGACGACGGCCCUGUACAAUAACUCAAAAAAUACUUGCCCGUAUAUCAUUAAAAUCAAAAACGUUCCAUACUCUCGUCUCGUCGUAACAUUGAAUGCGCCACCCAGCGCGUGUUUGCGAUGUUUGCUUUGCAUUUUGGGGGUAUCUACGAAUACGAGUACGAGUACGAGAAUGAGGAACCGUUUAGAUGUUUAGAUGUACAAAUAAACACUCGUAAAACGUCGCCUGCUAUCAUAUCGGGGGCUGUUUCAAUUCCUUUUGGUCUGUAAACAUUUCCAAAUCGAACGAGGCAAUUCUAUUCAUUUCUACUAUUGUGUGUGUCAAUAUUGCACAAGCGAAUGAUCUUGGAGCAUUCAUUCAGAAUCACACGUUUCAAUAUCGUGGGCAUGUCGACUGCGAAGUA